rnacentral:rRNA from 1 species
GACGAACGCUGGCGGCGUGCUUAACACAUGCAAGUCGAACGGUGAUGCUCCAGCUUGCUGGAGUGGAUCAGUGGCGAACGGGUGAGUAACACGUGAGCAACCUGCCCCAGACUCUGGAAUAAGCGCUGGAAACGGCGUCUAAUACUGGAUACGAAACUGGCCCGCAUGGGCAUGGUUUGGAAAGUUUUUCGGUUUGGGAUGGGCUCGCGGCCUAUCAGCUUGUUGGUGAGGUAAUGGCUCACCAAGGCGACGACGGGUAGCCGGCCUGAGAGGGUAACCGGCCACACUGGGACUGAGACACGGCCCAGACUCCUACGGGAGGCAGCAGUGGGGAAUAUUGCACAAUGGGCGAAAGCCUGAUGCAGCGACGCCGCGUGAGGGAUGACGGCCUUCGGGUUGUAAACCUCUUUCAGCAGGGAAGAAGCGAAAGUGACGGUACCUGCAGAAGAAGCACCGGCUAACUACGUG